UACGAAGGGUGCAAGCGUUACUCGGAAUUACUGGGCGUAAAGCGUGCGUAGGUGGUCUGUUAAGUCUGAUGUGAAAGCCCUGGGCUCAACCUGGGAAUUGCAUUGGAUACUGGCAGGCUAGAGUGCGGUAGAGGAUGGCGGAAUUCCCGGUGUGCAGUGAAAUGCGUAGAGAUCGGGAGGAACAUCUGUGGCGAAGGCGGCCAUCUGGACCAGCACUGACACUGAGGCACGAAAGCGUGGGGAGCAAACAGG
rnacentral:rRNA from 1 species